rnacentral:rRNA from 1 species
CAUUUAUUUGACGAAGGCUCCAAAGGAAGCCACGGCUAACUCUGUGCCAGCAGCCGCGGUAAUACAGAGGUGGCAAGCGUUGUUCGGAAUUAUUGGGCGUAAAGAGCACGUAGGUGGGUUUGUAAGUCAGAUGUGAAAGCCUUCUGUUCAACGGAAGAAUUGCAUCUGAAACUGCGAGUCUUGAGUGUAGGAGGGGAGAAUGGAACUUCUGGUGGAGCGGUGAAAUGCGUAGAUAUCAGAAGGAACGCCGGCGGCGAAAGCGAUUCUCUGGCCUAUUACUGACACUCAGUGUGCGAAAGCUAGGGGAGCAAACGGGAUUAGAUACCCCGGUAGUCCUAGCCGUAAACGAUGGGCACUAAGUAGAGGGAAUUACCGAUGUUCUCUCUGCCGUAGCUAACGCAUUAAGUGCCCCGCCUGGGGAGUACGGCCGCAAGGCUAAAACUCAAAAGAAUUGACGGGGGCUCGCACAAGCGGUGGAGCAUGUGGCUUAAUUCGAUGCAACGCGAAGAACCUUACCGGGGCUUGACAUGGUAGAAGUAGGAACCCGAAAGGGUAACGAACGGUAUCCAGUCCGUAACUAUCACAGGUGUUGCAUGGCUGUCGUCAGCUCGUGUCGUGAGACGUUGGGUUAAGUCCCCUAACGAGCGAAACCCUUGUUUUUAGUUACCAGCGGGUUAUGCCGGGUACUCUAGAAAGACUGCCGUCGUCAAGACGGAGGAAGGUGGGGAUGACGUCAAGUCAUCAUGGCCCUUAUGCCCCGGGCUGCACACGUGCUACAAUGGUCGGUACAAACGGAAGCGAAGCCGAGAGGUGAAGCGAAUCCUAAAAAGCCGAUCUCAGUUCGGAUUGGAGGCUGAAAUUCGCCUCA